UCGAAAGGUCACUACAACUGGAUAUGCAACUGCAGAAGAAUGACUUUGGACGCCUACCUCACAGGAUAUAUAAAAAAUGAAUGAAACAACAGCUAACAAGGGGCCAGAAAGUGCUAGUCUCCUGGAGUGUAUGAUACACAAAAAUCAGAUCAAAAUCGAUCAGUGUUAUAAAUGGAAACGUUGAAACUAGAAAGCUAUUAGAAGCAAACAAAGGGUGUCCAAAGUCAUUCUGCAGUUGGAUAUCCAGUUGUAGUGACCUUCCGAGUCUGAACCUGCUCUCUCAGCCAUCACAGCGUCUCCCAACUGAGAACAGCUGAGCAGCUCCCAACUUUCCAUGGAGACAGUGGCCACAUGACCUCAACAUGGCCAAUCCGCAGAUCCCAUCCUCUUUGUCCACAGUGAUUGGCUAAGGCCUGCUCAUGUGACACACUCAGUGCCAAAGGUCAGGUUGUUGUCUUGGAAACAUCCGGGAGAAGAUCUAUUUCAGUUAGGCUGCUGGGGCUGUGGGUGCCAUCUUGUCACCUUGGAGGAAGAGCCCACCUGAGAACGACAUCAACUCAGAGGGAAGUCAGCAGAGCCAAGAGGCCGGGAGAGGUGAUUCCCGGUGACAUCAUCUGGCUCCUGGGUGCAGCCAUGGUAGAGUUGGCCUCGAACGUUGUCCCUGGCAUGGAGGUGACCAGAGGUCACCCUCACAUGUCAGCAGACACCUCCAGCUGUGUCAUUCUUGCUUCUUGUUGGCAAAGUUUGUAGGGGUAGUAUUCUCAGUUGGCAUUCCUAGCUGAGAUGUGUAGCUGGGAGGUCACCACGCCGCAGGGCCUUGGGACCAGUUCUGCCUCCGAGGAGUCCCUUACUGAUGAUCAUAGGCUCCUCAAGGUCAUCAGCCAGGGCAGCUUUGCAGAAGUCAAGGCAGCUGGCCCAGCACAUUCUCACUGGGACCAAGAUGGCUGUGGAGGUCACCCCAACAGGGCAGCAGGGCUCCUGCAGCCCCCAGGAUCUGUACUGCAGGGUCCAUAUGAUGAAGGCCCUUAAUCACCCGAAGAUCAUCAGACCCACGUGGCUGGCACCGAGAACAGGCUGUUCCUAGUCAUGGAUUAAGCCAGCUCGGGAGAGCUAUCCGACUUCACCCUCCAAUUCUCCUUGAAGGGGGAAGAGGCCUGAGGCAAGUUCCAGCAAAUAGGAUAUUCCAUGCAGUGAGGCUUCCAGAAGGAAAUUAUCCACAGGGAUCUGAAGCCAGAGAACUUCCCUGAGGAGGCUCAGCACGACAUGGAAACAACAGACUCUGGCUUUGAUACCAGAUUCACCGUAGGCUGAAAGCUGAUCCCCUUCGGUGGGAGCUCCUCUUACGCAGCCUCGGAACUGUUCCCGGAGGCAAAAGUACGAUGGACUCCGGUGGGCGUGUGGAGCCUGGGAGUCACUGUCUACACCAUGGUGGCCGAGGACUGCCAUCUGUUGGGCAGACUUUUGUGGGGCUGAGGAGGACACUAAUACUCUGUGAACGAUGACAGGAGAUCCCGUUUCUCAUUUCCAUAGAACUAGAACGCCUCAUAAACACAAUUCUGGCCCUUGACUCCAGGGAGAGGCCCUCACUAGACCACAUCAUGGGGCGCCCAUGCGUUAACAUGGGUCAGGAGGAGACAUAAAUAAGGCCAUACUGGGAGCUGCUCCCCGAUCACCCGGCGUCUGGAAAGCUCUCGUGGUGUCCCCGGGAGAUGAGGCCAACCACGUCCCAUCCUUGUAGGAACAAAAAUGUAGGAACAAAAAUUUUUAGUAGAGACGGGGUUUCUCCAUUUUGGUCAGGGUGGUCUCGAACUCCUGACCACAGGUGAUCCACUCGCCUCGGCCUCCCAAAGUGCUGGGAUUACAGGCGUGAACCACUGCGCCCGGCCCACAACAUGGAUUUUUCUUACUAUAAACAUCAAGCUACACUUGCCACAGUCUUUUACCGCUGUGGUCUCAUUUGUCUCCACCAGAGGGAGAAAGGAGACUCAAUAAAAACUGCAUGGUUCUCGGCCGGGCAUGGUGCCUCACGCCUGUAAUCCCAGCACUUUGGGAGGCCGAGGCGGGUGGAUCACUGACGUCAGGAGUUCGAGACCAGACCAGCCUGGCCAACAUGGUGAAACCCUGUCUCUACAACUACUACUACUAAUAAUAAUAAUACAAAAAUUAGCUGGACGUGGUGGUGUGCACCUGUGAUCCCAGCUACUCGGGAGGCUGAGGCAGGAGAAUCACUUGAACCCGGGAGGCAAAGGUUACAGUGAUCCGAAAUCACACCAUUACACUCCAGCCUUGGGCAACACUCCAUCUCAAAAAGAAAGAAAGAAAAAAACCUGCAUGGUUCUCUAUUCCCAUAAAUAUACUGCAAAAUAACUUUGCCCUCUUAUAAUCUGAGUGAUUUAUGAUGUCCAAAAAAAUAGAUUCUUUCACUCAAGAAGUAUUUAUUGACCACCGACAACAUGCCGUUUCCCCAGAACAUUAAGGCAGUUCAAAAAAUAUUGAAAAAUGGAAAAGUAAGCAUAUUGGAACAUAAAACAUUGUUUAAAUAUUUAUCCCCAAACUAUUAAAAAUUUUAAUUUCCUGCUCUCAAA